rnacentral:rRNA from 1 species
AAGCUCGUAGUUGAAUUUCGGGAUCAAUAUUUCGGUCAUGCCGUUGGUAUGCACUGUUAUCAUUGAUUUCUCACCUUCUAAAGAACCGUAAUGCCAUUAAUUUGGUGUUACGGGGAAUUAGGACUGUUACCUUGAAAAAAUUAGAGUGUUUAAAGCAGGCUCACGCUUGAAUACAUUAGCAUGGAAUAAUGAAAUAGGACAUCCGAUUCUAUUUUGUUGGUUUCUAGGAUCGAUGUAAUGAUUAAUAGGGAUAGUUGGGGGCAUUAGUAUUCAAUUGUCAGAGGUGAAAUUCUUGGAUUUAUUGGAGACUAACUACUGCGAAAGCAUUUGCCAAGGAUGUUUUCAUUAAUCAAGAACGAAAGUUAGGGGAUCGAAGACGAUCAGAUACCGUCGUAGUCUUAACCAUAAACUAUGCCGACUAGGGAUCGGAUGAUGUUAAUUUUUUAAUGACUCAUUCGGCGCCUUACGGGAAACCAAAGUGUUUGGGUUCCGGGGGGAGUAUGGUCGCAAGGCUGAAACUUAAAGGAAUUGACGGAAGGGCACCACCAGGGGUGGAGCCUGCGGCUUAAUUUGACUCAACACGGGGAAACUCACCAGGUCCAGACAUAGUAAGGAUUGACAGAUUGAGAGCUCUUUCUUGAUUCUAUGGGUG